rnacentral:rRNA from 1 species
AGAGUUUGAUCCUGGCUCAGGACGAACGCUGGCGGCGUGCUUAACACAUGCAAGUCGAACGGAAAGGCCCUUCGGGGUACUCGAGUGGCGAACGGGUGAGUAACACGUGGGUGAUCUGCCCUGCACUUUGGGAUAAGCCUGGGAAACUGGGUCUAAUACCGAAUAUGACCAUGCACUUCCUGGUGUGUGGUGGAAAGCUUUUGCGGUGUGGGAUGGGCCCGCGGCCUAUCAGCUUGUUGGUGGGGUAAUGGCCUACCAAGGCGACGACGGGUAGCCGGCCUGAGAGGGUGACCGGCCACACUGGGACUGAGAUACGGCCCAGACUCCUACGGGAGGCAGCAGUGGGGAAUAUUGCACAAUGGGCGCAAGCCUGAUGCAGCGACGCCGCGUGAGGGAUGACGGCCUUCGAGUUGUAAACCUCUUUCAGCACAGACGAAGCGCAAGUGACGGUAUGUGCAGAAGAAGGACCGGCCAACUACGUGCCAGCAGCCGCGGUAAUACAUAGGGUCCGAGCGUUGUCCGGAAUUACUGGGCGUAAAGAGCUCGUAGGUGGUUUGUCGCGUUGUUCGUGAAAACUCACAGCUUAACUGUGGGCGUGCGGGCGAUACGGGCAGACUUGAGUACUGCAGGGGAGACUGGAAUUCCUGGUGUAGCGGUGGAAUGCGCAGAUAUCAGGAGGAACACCGGUGGCGAAGGCGGGUCUCUGGGCAGUAACUGACGCUGAGGAGCGAAAGCGUGGGGAGCGAACAGGAUUAGAUACCCUGGUAGUCC